UCCGCAAUGGGCGAAAGCCUGACGGAGCAAGACCGCGUGGGGGAUGAAGGUUUGUGGAUUGUAAACCCCUUUUGAUUGGGAAGAAUACUGACGGUACCAAUCGAAUAAGCCUCGGCUAACUCCGUGCCAGCAGCCGCGGUAAUACGGAGGAGGCAAGCGUUAUCCGGAAUUAUUGGGCGUAAAGCGUCCGUAGGUGGUUUAGUAAGUCUGCUGUUAAAGCGCGGGGCUUAACUCCGUAUCGGCAGUGGAAACUACUAGACUAGAGUGUGGUAGGGGUAGAGGGAAUUCCCAGUGUAGCGGUGAAAUGCGUAGAUAUUGGGAAGAACACCGGUGGCGAAAGCGCUCUACUGGGCCAUAACUGACACUGAUGGACGAAAGCUANGGGAGCGAAAGGGAUUAGAUACCCCUGUAGUC
rnacentral:rRNA from 1 species